rnacentral:piRNA from 1 species
UAAUUCCCAAUUGUGUUUGAGAUUC